rnacentral:rRNA from 1 species
GAUGAACGCUGGCGGCGUGCCUAAUACAUGCAAGUCGAGCGAACGGACGAGAAGCUUGCUUCUCUGAUGUUAGCGGCGGACGGGUGAGUAACACGUGGAUAACCUACCUAUAAGACUGGGAUAACUUCGGGAAACCGGAGCUAAUACCGGAUAAUAUUUUGAACCGCAUGGUUCAAAAGUGAAAGACGGUCUUGCUGUCACUUAUAGAUGGAUCCGCGUUGCAUUAGCUAGAUGGUAAGGUAACGGCUUACCAAGGCAACGAUGCAUAGCCGACCUGAGAGGGGGAUCGCCCACACUGGAACUGAGACACGGUCCAGACUCCUACGGGAGGCAGCAGUAGGGAAUCUUCGGCAAUGGGCGAAAGCUUGACGGAGCAACGCCGCGUGAGUGAUGAAGGUCUUCGGAUCGUAAAACUCUGUUAUUAGGGAAGAACAUAUGUGUAAGUAACUGUGCACAUCUUGACGGUACCUAAUCAGAAAGCCACGGCUAACUACGUG